CAGCCUGGGCUCUUGAGCAGCUGCUGCCAGCCACGGAGCCAAGGCUGCUCCCAGCAAGCGUCUGGGAGGUGGUAAGGCAUGCAGCAGGAAGACCACAGUCCAUGGGCUGGCUGCAGCUGGGAGCUGCAAACAGCUGCUCCAAGCUAUGGCAUGUCAGCACACCGGGACCUUCCAAGAAAUGCAUCAAACAGUUUUGAAGCAAUUAGACUGUCCUACUGAAUGGCAUCUCUUCCAGCUUGCAAAUAGCUCACAAAGGUUACCACAUUUGCGUAAUAUCCAUACACUGCAGUAACCUUUCCAGAUCAAUCAGUGACUCGGAGUACUUCUCAGAGCUUGUUCUCUGUGUGUUUUGAAGUGGUGAUUCAUACAUAAGAACAAUGGGGCAUAACGUUCUGGAAAGACAGACAUUCCUGCAAAGGAAAAACCUCUUACAACAUAAUAGACAAAGUUUGAACCAUUAUAUUAUUCCUGAGCUAUAUUUGCUUUUGUACAUGUCAAUAAACACUCUCAUCCACUUUA